UACGUAGGUGGCAAGCGUUAUCCGGAUUUAUUGGGUGUAAAGGGCGUGUAGGCGGGAGCGCAAGUCAGAUGUGAAAACUCAGGGCUCAACCCUGAGCCUGCAUUUGAAACUGUGUUUCUUGAGUGCUGGAGAGGCAAUCGGAAUUCCGUGUGUAGCGGUGAAAUGCGUAGAUAUACGGAGGAACACCAGUGGCGAAGGCGGAUUGCUGGACAGUAGCUGACGCUGAGGCGCGAAAGCGUGGGGAGCAAACAGG
rnacentral:rRNA from 1 species